rnacentral:rRNA from 1 species
UACGUAGGGUGCGAGCGUUAAUCGGAAUUACUGGGCGUAAAGCGCACGUAGGCGGCUUCUUAAGUCGGUGGUGAAAUCCUGGAGCUCAACUCCAGAACUGCCUUCGAUACUGGGAAGCUUGAGUCCGGGAGAGGUGAGUGGAACUGCGAGUGUAGAGGUGAAAUUCGUAGAUAUUCGCAAGAACACCAGUGGCGAAGGCGGCUCACUGGCCCGGUACUGACGCUGAGGUGCGAAAGCGUGGGGAGCAAACAGG